rnacentral:rRNA from 1 species
AGUGAACGCUGGCGGUAGGCCUAACACAUGCAAGUCGAACGGCAGCACAGUAAGAGCUUGCUCUUACGGGUGGCGAGUGGCGGACGGGUGAGGAAUACAUCGGAAUCUACUUUUUCGUGGGGGAUAACGUAGGGAAACUUACGCUAAUACCGCAUACGACCUACGGGUGAAAGCAGGGGAUCUUCGGACCUUGCGCGAUUGAAUGAGCCGAUGUCGGAUUAGCUAGUUGGCGGGGUAAAGGCCCACCAAGGCGACGAUCCGUAGCUGGUCUGAGAGGAUGAUCAGCCACACUGGAACUGAGACACGGUCCAGACUCCUACGGGAGGCAGCAGUGGGGAAUAUUGGACAAUGGGCGCAAGCCUGAUCCAGCCAUACCGCGUGGGUGAAGAAGGCCUUCGGGUUGUGUAGCCCUUUUGUUGGGAAAGAAAAGCAGCAGGUUAAUACCCCGCUGUUCUGACGGUACCCAAAGAAUAAGCACCGGCUAACUUCGUG